GUGGGGAAUCUUGCGCAAUGGGCGAAAGCCUGACGCAGCCAUGCCGCGUGAAUGAUGAAGGUCUUAGGAUUGUAAAAUUCUUUCACCGGGGACGAUAAUGACGGUACCCGGAGAAGAAGCCCCGGCUAACUUCGUGCCAGCAGCCGCGGUAAUACGAAGGGGGCUAGCGUUGCUCGGAAUUACUGGGCGUAAAGGGCGCGUAGGCGGACAGUUUAGUCAGAGGUGAAAGCCCAGGGCUCAACCUUGGAAUUGCCUUUGAUACUGGCUGUCUUGAGUACGGGAGAGGUGAGUGGAACUCCGAGUGUAGAGGUGAAAUUCGUAGAUAUUCGGAAGAACACCAGUGGCGAAGGUGACUCACUGGCCCGUUACUGACGCUGAGGCGCGAAAGCGUGGGGAGCAAACAGGAUUAGAUACCCGGGUAGUCC
rnacentral:rRNA from 1 species